rnacentral:rRNA from 1 species
CAACUUUUAACAACGGAUCUCUUGGUUCUCGCAUCGAUGAAGAACGUAGCAAAGUGCGAUAACUAGUGUGAAUUGCAUAUUCAGUGAAUCAUCGAGUCUUUGAACGCAUCUUGCACCUGCUGGUAUUCCAGCAGGUACGCCUGUUUCAGUAUC